rnacentral:rRNA from 1 species
CACGUAGGGCGCAAGCGUUUGUCCGGAAUUAUUGGGCGUAAAGAGCUCGUAGGUGGUUUGCUGCGUCCGCUGUGAAAACCCAAGGCUUAACCUUGGGCUUGCAGUGGAUACGGGCAGACUAGAGGUAGGUAGGGGAGAAUGGAAUUCCCGGUGUAGCGGUGAAAUGCGCAGAUAUCGGGAGGAACACCGGUGGCGAAGGCGGCUCACUGGUCCGGUACUGACGCUGAGGUGCGAAAGCGUGGGGGAGCAAACAGG